AGAAUCCAAAUUUAGGAUGUUGGAAAGGAGGAAGGUUGGGGAGUGGAGGGCAGGGUUUCUUAUAGAAUGGUGGGAGUGGUUUAUAAAUUGGAAUUGGAGGUGGAAGUGGCUUUACUAUUGGAGGAAUGUAAAUUGGUGGCUUUGGCUUGUAGAUUGGAAUUGGAGGUGGAAGUGGCUUUACUAUUGGAGGGAUGUAAAUUGGUGGCUUUGGCUUGUAGAUUGGAACUGGUGGUGGUAGUGGCUUUACUACCGGGGGUAUGUAAACCGGUGGCUUUGGCUUGUAGGUUGGAACUGGUGGUGGUAGUGGCUUUAUUAUCGGAGGUAUGUAAAUCGGUGGCUUUGGCUUUGGUUUGUAGAUAGGAACUGGUGGUGGAAGAGGCUUUACUACCGGAGGUUUGUAAACUGGUGGCUUUGGCUUUGGUUUGUAGAUUGGAACUGGUGGUGGAAGCGGCUUUACUGGAGGCUUUGGCUUGUAAAUAGGGACAGGUGGAGGAAGUGGCUUUGGUUUGUAAAUGGGGACGGGUGGAGGAAGCGGCUUUUUGUAAAUGGGAACUGGGGGAGGAAGUGGCUUUGGUUUGUAAAUGGGGACGGGUGGAGGAAUCGGCUU
rnacentral:lncRNA from 1 species